rnacentral:rRNA from 1 species
GUGCCAGCAGCCGCGGUAAUACGUAGGUGGCAAGCGUUAUCCGGAAUUAUUGGGCGUAAAGCGCUCGCAGGCGGUCUUUUAAGUCUGAUGUGAAAGCCCACGGCUCAACCGUGGAGGGUCAUUGGAAACUGGGAGACUUGAGUGCAGAAGAGGAGAGUGGAAUUCCACGUGUUACCGGUGAAAUGCGUAGAGAUGUGGAGGAACACCAUUGGCGAAGGCGACUCUCUGGUCUGUAACUGACGCUGAGGAGCGAAAGCGUGGGGAGCGAACAGGAUUAGAUACCCUGGUAGUCC